rnacentral:lncRNA from 1 species
CAUGGUGCGUCGUGAAGAGGGAAGGCUGCGCAGCACUCGACGAAGCGGGGAGAGCACUCGUCAGUGGAACCGCGAAGGACACGGUGUGUCGAGUGGUGUUCUCCUCCUCCGCGACCAGAGUCUCGGGCGCCGUCACAUCCUGGGCCACCCUACCGGCAGACGCUUUCCUGCUCCUCCUGUGCUUCAGUGGUUCCUCAUCGUCAUCAUCAUCAGGAAGAGUGAUAACGACAUUGGAUGGAGCUACAGAAAAGAAUCAGAAUUAGGGACUGUAAGUGCAUCUAGUGCCCCUUAGUGAUUUUGGUGUAUUGAAGACUUAUAGGUUAAGUAACUGAUGCGUUUGUGAGUGUACACAGGUCUAUAAGUCUAUGAGGAGUUUGAUAUUUACAGAGAAAGUCGACCCCUAAAAAUGAAGUUCUUCGACUGAAGACUUUGAUAUUCUGAAGACUUUCUGAAGACUUUGAAAGUGAAGAAAUUGGUGUGACCAUGAAGACUUGAUAUUCAUUCGAGGAAUAUGAAGCGUGAAGACUUUUGUUUUCGUAGUUUCAUUUUCUCUUUCUUGAGUCAUAGGAAACACCGUACUAUUAAAGGGGGUCGAGGAAAUACUAAGGAAAAAUUUCCAUGUGAUGCUCAACUCAAAAUCCUACACCUACCAAUCCCUUCGAGUGAAGCCAUUGGAAAUCUCAUACACUUCAGUCAAAUUCUUCAGUGACAGAGACGCAGUUCUUCUGGUCACUGAUGACUUUGCUCUGACUGAGGAGUUAGGAAUUCGCCAGUGCGAAUUGCCUACACAGUGAGGAACAUGAUAGCCCUGAGGACUUUGAAAGUCAAAUUUCCGACCGUUGCUGUGCUGCGCGCCGGCGGACCAAAAUAUCUUAUCCACCUAACGGUCAUAUCAUUGAAGGGCAUUUAUGUCUUAUCAUGUCGGGCUGCUCCCUAGGCUAUAAAUAGCCGCCCCCUACAACCACUAGUUGGUUGGCUGCUCCGAGAGAACUUGACACUUGUCAUUUGAGAGCAACCCAUCCUCCGAGGACUUUGAGCGAAAAUCAUCAAGUGAGGAAAAUCCAAAACCAAACCCCCCACAAAAACCCCAAGUGAUUGAGCAUCACUGAAGAAAUUGAUCCUGCGUGGAUCCGACGCUUGUUACCUUUGAAGACUGUGCUUCUUCCAGACGGUUAGGCGUCAAGGUCUAGAGCAUCCAAGAGGAAUUGUGGAUCACCGAGUGACCAAGUCUGUGAAGGUUUGGAAGUCACCUGAAGACUUACCACGAGUGAUUGGACGAGGCCUGCGUGGUCUUAGUUCAAGGAGAAUAUGGUGAGGACUGGGUGUCCUGAGUUGCGGCUCAGAGACUGGGUGUCCGAGACUGUGUGUCCUCGAGUUUAAAUACUCAGCCGCUCCAACCAGACGUACAACUGAGACAGCAGUUGGAACUGGUCUACCAAAUCAUUGUCUUCACCAACUGACUGGUUCUAUUUCCUCAACUCAUUCAUUUCCUCAUUCUGUGUUGCAUGUUGUUCAUAUCUGUGCUUGAAGACUUUGACUGAAGACUUUCACAAAUUCCUCAGUUCAAUUUCUUCAGUCUGUUUGUCUGCAUCUUGUUAUCCUGUGUUUACGCUUCCUGUACUCUGUUCUAGUCUUCAUUUCAUCAUGCUGACUAUGUGUGUAAUCGGUUAUGUUUACCUCUGAGUACUUAUUCCGCUGCAAAUAGUUCUUCGCUAAGGAAUUUCCUCACCGGCAAAUUCCUCAGUGAAGAAUUUCAUAAAAAUCGCCUAUUCACCCCCCUCUAGUCGAUAUAACGCACUUUCAAUUGGUAUCAGAGCAAGGUACUCCCUUGUUCUGUGUGAUUUUGGUUUAACCACCUGGAGUUCUAGUUAUGUCGACCGCAGGUAUGAUCAAGGUCUCGGCUGGGUGUCCUACCUUUGAUGGAACGGACUAUCCCUACUGGAAGAACAAGAUGCGGAUGCAUCUUGAGGCAAUUGAUAAUGAUCUCUGGUAUGUUGUGGAAAAUGGUGUCCCCGCUGUCACUGAAACACUGACCGCUACUGACGUGAAGAGAUUCAAACAACUCGACUUUCAAGCGAAGAAUAUCAUCUGUGGCCAUCUGAGCAAAGGAUAGUAUGGAAGAGUGAGUGCUUUGGAAACUGCCAAGCUUAUCUGGGAUAGGUUGUCCAAAGUAAAUGAAGGAGUCUCAACUCAGCGUGACUCUCGAGUUGAUGUUCUUCGGAAUCUCUUCAACCGCUUCAAAAGACUCGACAACGAAAAUGUUCAACAAACCUUCGAUCGCCUCACUGACAUCUCAAAUGAGCUUCAAGCCCUCGGUGCCACUGAUAUCACUGACCAUGAAGUGGUGAAGAAACUGCUAAGAUCGCUUGAUUCCUCAUUUGAUACUCUGGGACUGAUGAUACAAGAGCGUGCUGACUACAAGUCACUUGAUCCUGCUGACAUCCUCAAAAGGCUUAACACUCACGAGUUCCAGCUUGCUGAAAAGAGAGAUCUCUAUGGCUCAAACCAUGGCAAACCACGUGCCCUGAAGGCUAAGGUUGUGUCUGACUCUGAAUGUGAGGAUUCUGGAAGUAGCCUUGGUGAUCCUGAAGAACUGAGCCAGGAUCUAGCUCUCCUGGUGAAGAAAUUCCAGAAAUUCACAAGACGUGGUCGCUUUGGAAAACCCUCAAGGGGAAGUGAUCCUUCAUCCAGUGACUACAAGAGAAGACUUUGCCACAAAUGCAAGAAGCCUGGUCACUAUAUUCAAGAUUGUCCUCAGUGGGAAAAGGAAAUGAAGAAGAAGAAAUACAAGGACUACAGUUCUGAUGAAAUGAAGAAGAAGAAGAAAUCAUCAAAAUCUUCGUCUUCAAAACCAUCAAAGUCUUCAUCUCACAAGAAGGGCAGCUCCAAGAAAGCUCGGGCAUUCAUUGGCAAGGAAAUGGACUCUGAAGCUGAAUCUGAGGAAAAUGAUGAAGAGGAGGAGUCUGAAGAAUCCGAGUCUGGUGUGGCGAGUCUGGCCGUUGCUACUGCUUUCGUCAGCAAGUCCAUCUUCAACACUGAAGAAACUGAUUCCACCAACAAGCCUGAUGAAGAUAAUGAUGGCUACGCUCCCACCUAUUGCUUCAUGGCAAAAGCAGCUAAGGUACUCAAAUACAACUCCUCUGAUUCUAGUGAAAAUGAAUCAGAUGAGGAUCUUAAGCCUAGCUACUCUAAACUUGCUAAAAUUGCUGUGAAACAACAACGGGCCCUUGAAAAGGUUCAAAACAUGCUAGAUAAAAGUGAUGAUAUGUUGGGUGAAGAAAUGGAUCGCACUAAAGCCCUGACUGAAAAUCUUCAGAGACUUCAGUCUAAGUACUAUAACCUUCAAGGUCAUCAUAACUCCCUCCAGUCUGAUCAUGAGAAACUUUCUUAUGAAUUUCUUCAAGAAAAGCAAGACAAUGAGAAGCUUUCUCUUGAAGCUAUUCAAAGAAAGGCAGAUCUUGAAAAGCUAAGAGUAUGUUAUGAAGAUCUUCAGAAGGAGCGCGAUUCAUUACUAGCUCAACAAAUCAGCGCUUCUCAGGAAGAAUUUGUUCCUCCAUGCUUAAAGUGCAUUGAACGUGAAUCUGCUAAUUCUUCACCUGAAUGUUCAAAUGCUUCAAAUGUUACAAAUUCUUCAUCUGCCUCUGCUAUCACUAAUUCCUCAUCUGAGGACUUUGCUAGUAUCACUGACAAUGCAGGGCUGAAGGAAUUGUACAUGACAGGCAUGUACAAAAGCCUCAAAGGGCAUCAGACACUUUGUGAUGUGCUCAAAAAGCAGAUCCUCAACAAAAACCCUAGGAAAGAGGGUAUUGCCUUUGAGAGGAAACUCAAUGCCGAUGGAACAUAUUGGAAGCCUGAGCAGUACCCCAAAACCUCAUGGGUUGCUGCAAAGGGACCUCCAGUUGAUCCAUCUAACUUAUCUGGCUUUACAUGUGAAUCUCCUCAUUCUUCUAAUGAGUCAUUUGACUCCAACUAUAAACUGUUCAAAAAUCAGAAUGGUGAAGUAUUUGCUAGAUAUGUUGGCACUAACUGCAGGAACGGUUCCCCUAUGAAGAAAAUCUGGGUUCCCAAAAGUUGUGUUGAAAGUCUUCAGGUGAAUGUCCUCAUGACACCACCUGUGAAGAACAGGAACCCCAGAUCAAAUUCUUCAUAUGGACCAAACUCUUCAUAUGGAUCCAAAUCCUCAUACGGACCAAAUCCUUCACGAGGAUCAAAUUCCUCAACUGGAUCAAAGUCUUCAUAUGAUUAUCAUCGUGCUAACAAAUCUGUCUCGCAGGGCAAAGCUAAGGGCUAUGAAUAUGUGCAUUAUUCUUCAAACCAUUAUGUUCAUAAGUCCUCGAAGAAUUAUUCUGCUUAUUCAUAUGCUUACCCUAACCCCUCCAAUGCUAAGCGAAAUGGUUUGGCAUCUUUGCCACCUUUCUCACAUGGUGCUCGCAGGAUGAUGAACUCUUUGCCACCCCUCCAGAUGUGGGUGGUGAAGAAAAAGAACUAAUCUCUUCUGCAGGGUCAGGUCUCCAGACGUGCUCGAACGUCUGAAGAAUUUGCUGGGGACCUGACAAAAUGCCUGAAAGGACGCAGGCGAAUCAUGAUGAAAUGAACCUUCAUUUCACACGUCCUCAUGCUGCUAUAUUUGUUUACUGCUUGAUGAAAUUCAUCUGAUGAACUUGAUAUCAUAUUCUUCACUGAUGAAGCAUAUGAGAUUGUAAGUUACACUAAUUCAUCUGCAGGAUGAUCAACCCAAAACCACUGAAUGGGUCCUUGAUAUGGAUGUACAAAUCACAUGACUGGUGACAAGAAUCUAUUGAUGGAUGCUCCUUUAUCACCGUCACCUCUGAAGCAUAUCAUAUUUGCUGACAAAGGCAAAAGUCAGGUAUUGGGUCUUGGUAAGGUUGCUAUCUCUAAGGAUAAGCACAUGGACAAAGUCAUGCUUGUUGAAUCCUUAGGAUACUGUUGGGGAACGUUGCAGAAAAUUAAAAAUUUUCCUACGGCUUCACCAAGAUCCAUCUAUGAGUUCAUCUAAGCAACGAGUAACGGGAGAGAGUUUGCAUCUACAUACCACUUGUAGAUCGUGUGCGGAAGCUUGCAAGGUGAUGAUGGAGUCGUACUCGAACGUGAUUCAGAUCACCGAUGUCCAAGUGCUGAACGGACAGCACCUCCGCGUUCAACACACGUACGGGACGAGCGACGUCUCCUCCUUCUUGAUCCAGCAAGGGGGAAGGAGAUGUUGAGGAAGACAGCUCCACCGGCAGCACGACGGCGUGGUGAUGAUGGAGAAGCAGUACUCCGACAGGGCUUCACCGAGCUCUUACGGAGGAGGAGAUGUGUUGGGGAGGGGAGGGGCUGCGCCUUGGGAGUUGGUACAGCAGCCCCCCUCCCUCCCCCCCCCUUAUAUAGGCCCCCUGGGGGGGUGGCCGGCCCCUGGAGAUCCAAUCUCCAGGGGGGGGCGGCGGCCAAGGGGGGUGGAGUGCCCCCCAAGCCAGGUGGGGCGCCCCCCCACCCCUAGGGUUUCAACCCUAGGCGCAGGGGGUGGGCCUAGGGGGGCGCACCAGCCCCCUGUGGGCUGGUUCCCUUCCCCCUUUGGCCCAUGGGGCCCUCCGGGAUAGGUGGCCCCACCCGGUGGACCCCCGGGACCCUUCCGGUGGUCCCGAUACUUUACCGGGAGACCCCGAAACUUUCCCGAUGGCCGAAUCACCACUUCCUAUAUAUUAUUCUUUACCUCCGGACCCUUCCGGAACUCCUCGUGACGUCCGGGAUCUCAUCCGGGACUCCGAACAACAUUCGGUAUUCACAUACUAGUCUUCCUACUAACCCUAGCGUCACCGAACCUUAAGUGUGUAGACCCUACGGGUUCGGGAGACACGCAGACAUGACCGAGACGACUCUCGGGCAAUAACCAACAGCAGGAUCUGGAUACCCAUGUUGGCUCCCACAUGCUCCUCGAUGAUUUCAUCGGUUGAACCACGAUGUCGAGGAUUCGAUCAAACCCUGUAUGCAAUUCCCUUUGUCAAUCGGUACGUUACUUGCCCGAGACUCGAUCGUCGGUAUCCCAAUACCUCGUUCAGUCUCGUUACCGGCAAGUCACUUUACUCGUACCGUAAUGCAUGAUCCCAUGGCCAACACCUUGGUCACUUUGAGCUCAUUAUGAUGAUGCAUUACCGAGUGGGCCCAGAGAUACCUCUCCGUCAUACGGAGUGACAAAUCCCAGUCUCGAUCCGUGUCAACCCAACAGAUACUUUCAGAGAUACCUGUAAUGCACCUUUAUAGUCACCCAGUUACGUUGUGACGUUUGAUACACCCAAGGCACUCCUACGGUAACCGGGAGUUACACGAUCUCAUGGUCGAAGGAAGAGAUACUUGACAUUGGCAAAGCUUCUAGCAAACGAACUAUACGAUCUUUUAUGCUAUGCUUAUGAUUGGGUCUUGUCCAUCACAUCAUUCUCCUAAUGAUGUGAUCCCGUUAUCAACGACAUCCAAUGUCCAUAGUCAGGAAACCAUGACCAUCUAUUGAUCACAACGGGCUAGUCAACUAGAGGCUCACUAGGGACAUAUUGGGGUCUAAGUGUUCACACGUGUAUUACGAUUUCCGGAUAACACAGUUAUAGCAUGAACAAAAGACAAUUAUCAUGAACAUUGAAAUAUAAUAAUACUUUUAUUAUUGCCUCUAGGGCAUAUUUCCAACAGUCUCCCACUUGCACUAGAGUCACUAAUCUAGUUACAUUGUGAUGAAUCGAACACCCAUAGAGUUCUGGUGUUGAUCAUGUUUUGUACGCGAGAGAGGUUUAGUCAACGGAUCUGCGACAUUCAGAUCCGUGUGCACUUUGCAAAUCUCUAUGUCUCCAUCUUGAACAUUUUCACGGAUGGAGUUGAAACGACGCUUGAUGUGUCUGGUCUUCUUGUGAAACCUGGGCUCCUUGGCAAGGGCAAUAGCUCCAGUGUUGUCACAGAAGAGUUUGAUCGGCCCCGACGCAUUGGGUAUGACUCCUAGGUCGGUGAUGAACUCCUUCACCCAAAUCGCUUCAUGCGCUGCCUCCGAGGCUGCCAUGUACUCCGCUUCACACGUAGAUCCCGCCACGAUGCUCUGCUUGCAGCUGCACCAGCUUACUGCUCCACCAUUCAACAUAUACACGUAUCCGGUUUGUGACUUAGAGUCAUCCAGAUCUGAGUCGAAGCUAGCGUCGACGUAACCCUUUACGACGAGCUCUUCGUCUCCUCCAUAAACGAGAAACAUGUCCUUUGUCCUUUUUAGGUACUUCAGGAUAUUCUUGACCGCUGUCCAGUGUUCUUUGCCGGGAUUACUUUGGUAUCUUGCAACCAAACUUACGGCAAGGUUUACAUCGGGUCUGGUACACAGCAUGGCAUACAUAAUAGAUCCUAUGGCUGAAGCAUAGGGGAUGACACUCAUCUCUUCUUUAUCUUUUGCCGUGGUCGGUGACUGAGCUGAGCUCAAUUUCACACCUUGUAACAUAGGCAAGAACCCUUUCUUGGACUGAUCCAUUUUGAACCUCUUCAAAAUCUUAUCAAGGUAUGUGCUUUGUGAAAGACCUAUGAGGUGUCUCGAUCUAUCCCUAUAGAUCUUGAUGCCUAAUAUAUAAGCAGCUUCUCCAAGGUCCUUCAUUGAAAAACACUUAUUCAAGUAGGCCUUUAUGCUGUCCAGAAGUUUUGUAUCAUUUCCCAUCAAGAGUAUGUCAUCUACAUAUAGUAGGAGAAAUGCUACAGAGCUCCCACUCACUUUCUUGUAAACGCAGGCUUCUCCAUAAGUCUGCAUAAACCCAAACGCUUUGAUCAUCUCAUCAAAGCGAAUGUUCCAACUCCGAGAUGCUUGCACCAGUCCAUAAAUGGAUCGCUGGAGCUUGCAUACUUUGUUAGCGUUCUGAGGAUCGACAAAACCUUCCGGCUGCAUCAUAUACAGCUCUUCCUUAAGAUGUCCAUUAAGGAAUGCCGUUUUGACGUCCAUCUGCCAUAUCUCAUAAUCAUAGUAUGCGGCAAUUGCUAACAUGAUUCGGAUGGACUUAAGCUUCGCUACGGGAGAGAAUGUCUCGUCGUAGUCAAUCCCUUGAACUUGUCGAUAACCCUUAGCGACAAGUCGAGCUUUAUAGAUGGUGACAUUUCCAUCCGCGUCCGUCUUCUUCUUAAAAAUCCAUUUGUUUUCUAUCGCUCGCCGAUCAUCGGGCAAGUCUGUCAAAGUCCAUACUUUGUUUUCAUACAUGGAUUCUAUCUCGGAUUUCAUGGCCUCAAGCCAUUUGUUGGAAUCCGGGCCCGCCAUUGCUUCUUCAUAGUUCGAAGGUUCAUUGUUGUCUAGCAACAUGAUUUCCAUGACAGGGUUCCCGUACCACUCUGGUGCGGAACGUGUCCUCGUGGACCUUCGAAGUUCAGUAGUAACUUGAUCCGAAGUACCUUGAUCAUCAUCAACGUUUUCCUCUUCAGUUGGUGUGGGCAUCACAGGAACGGUUUCCUGCGCUGCACCACUUUCCCGUUCGAGGGGUAGUACUUCAUCGAGUUCUACUUUCCUCCCACUUACUUCUUUCGAGAGAAACUCUUUCUCCAGAAAGCAUCCGUUCUUGGCAACAAAGACCUUGCCUUCAGAUCUUAAGUAGAAGGUAUACCCGACAGUUUCCUUAGGGUAUCCUAUGAAUACGCAUUUUUCCGACUUGGGUUCGAGCUUUUCAGGUUGAAGUUUCUUGACAUAAGCAUCGCAUCCCCAAACUUUUAGAAACGACAGCUUAGGUUUCUUCCCAAACCAUAAUUCAUACGGUGUCAUCUCAACGGAUUUAGACGGUGCCCUAUUUAAAGUGAAUGUAGCUGUCUCUAGUGCGUAUCCCCAAAAUGACAGCGGUAAAUCGGUAAGAGACAUCAUAGACCGCACCAUAUCCAAUAGAGUGCGAUUACGACGUUCGGACACACCGUUUCGCUGAGGUGUUCCAGGCGGCGUGAGUUGUGAAACGAUUCCACAUUUCUUUAAGUGUGUACCAAAUUCGUGACUUAAGUAUUCUCCCCCACGAUCUGAUCGUAGGAACUUUAUCUUUCGGUCACGUUGAUUCUCCACCUCAUUCUGAAAUUCCUUGAACUUUUCAAAGGUCUCAGACUUGUGUUUCAUUAAGUAGACAUACCCAUAUCUACUCAAGUCAUCAGUGAGAGUGAGAACAUAACGAUAUCCUCCCCGAGCCUCAACGCUCAUUGGACCGCACACAUCGGUAUGUAUGAUUUCCAACAAGUUGGUUGCUCGCUCCAUUGUUCCGGAGAACGGAGUCUUGGUCAUUUUGCCUAAGAGGCAUGGUUCGCAUGUGUCAAACGAUUCAUAAUCAAGAGACUCUAAAAGUCCAUCAGCAUGGAGCUUCUUCAUGCGCUUGACACCAAUGUGACCAAGGCGGCAGUGCCACAAGUAUGUGGGACUAUCGUUAUCAAAUUUACAUCUUUUGGCAUCCACACUAUGAACAUGUGUAAUAUUACGCUCGAGAUUCAUUAAGAAUAAACCAUUGACCAUCGGAGCAUGACCAUAAAACAUAUCUCUCAUAUAAAUCGAACAACCAUUAUUCUCAGACUUAAAUGAGUAGCCAUCUCGUAUCAAACGAGAUCCAGAUACAAUGUUCAUGCUCAAACUUGGCACUAAAUAACAAUUAUUAAGGUUCAAAACUAAUCCCGUAGGUAAAUGUAGAGGCAGCGUGCCGACGGCGAUCACAUCGACUCUGGAACCAUUCCCGACGCGCAUCGUCACCUCGUCCUUCGCCAGUCUCCGUUUAUUCCGCAGCUCCUGCUGUGAGUUACAAAUAUGAGCAACGGCACCGGUAUCAAAUACCCAGGAGUUACUACGAGUACUAGUAAGGUACACAUCAAUUACAUGUAUAUCAAAUAUACCUUUGGUGUUGCCGGCCUUCUUAUCCGCUAAGUAUUUGGGGCAGUUCCGCUUCCAGUGACCCUUCCCCUUGCAAUAAAAGCACUCAGUCUCAGGCUUGGGUCCAUUCUUUGACUUCUUCCCGGCAACAGGCUUACCGGGCGCGGCAACAUCUUUGCCGUCCUUCUUGAAGUUCUUCUUACCCUUGCCCUUCUUGAACUUAGUGGUCUUAUUGACCAUCAACACUUGAUGUUCUUUCUUGAUUUCAGCCUCUGCUGACUUCAGCAUCGAGAACACUUCAGGAAUGGUCUUUACCAUCCCCUGCAUGUUGUAGUUCAUCACAAAGCUCUUGUAGCUUGGUGGGAGCGACUGGAGGAUUCUGUCAAUGACUGCCUCAUCUGGGAGGUUAAUGUUCAGCUGGGUCAUACGGUUGUGCAACCCAGACAUCUUCAGGAUGUGCUCACUGACAGAACUGUUUUCCUCCAUCUUACAACUGUAGAACUUGUCAGAGACAUCAUAUCUCUCGACCCGGGCAUGAGCUUGGAAAACUAGUUUCAGCUCUUCGAACAUCUCAUAUGCUCCGUGAUGCUCAAAACGCUUUUGGAGCCCCGGUUCUAAGCUGUAGAGCAUGCCGCACUGAACGAGGGAGUAAUCAUCAGAACGAGUCUGCCAGACGUUCAAAUCGUCUUGCAGCGCUGGGAGAACAGGUGGGUCACCUAACGGUGCUUCUAGGACAUACUGUUUCUUGGCAGCUAUGAGGAUGAUCCUCAGGUUUCGGACCCAGUCCGUAUAGUUGCUGCCAUCAUCUUUCAGCUUGGUUUUCUCUAGGAACGCGUUGAAGUUCAUGUUGACAUUAGCGUUUGCCAUUGAUCUACAAGACAUAUUUGCAAAGGUUUUAGACUAAGUUCAUGAUAAUAAAGUUCUAAUCAAAAUUAUGAACUCCCACUUAGAUUAGACAUCCCUCUAGUCAUCUAAGUGUUACACGAUCCGAGUCGACUAGCCCGUGUCCGAUCAUCACGUGAGACGGACUAGUCAUCGUCGGUGAACAUCUUCAUGUUGAUCGUAUCUUCCAUACGACUCGUGUUCGACCUUUCGGUCUCCGUGUUCCGAGGCCAUGUCUGUACAUGCUAGGCUCGUCAAGUUAACCCUAAGUGUUUUCGCUGUGUAAAUCUGUCUUACACCCGUUGUAUGUGAACGUAAGGAUCCAUCACACCCGAUCAUCACGUGGUGCUUAGAAACGACGAACUGUAGCAACGGUGCACAGUUAGGGGAGAACACUUCUUGAAAUUUUGUAAGGGAUCAUCUUAUUUACUACCGUCGUCCUAAGUAAACAAGAUGUAUAAACAUAAUAAACAUCACAUGCAAUUAUAUAGUUGUGACAUGAUAUGGCCAAUAUCAUCAAGCUCCAUUGAUCUCCAUCUUCGGGGCUCCAUGAUCAUCUUGUCACCGGAUUGACACCAUGAUCUCCAUCAUCAUGAUCUCCAUCAUCGUGUCUUCAUGAAGUUGUCACACCAACGACUACUUCUACUUCUAUGACUAACGCGUUUAGUAAUGAAGUAAAGUAAUUUACAUGGCGUUCUUCAAUGACACGCAGGUCAUACAAAAAAUAAAGACAACUCCUAUGGCUCCUGCCGGUUGUCAUACUCAUCGACAUGCAAGUCGUGAAUCCUAUUACAAGAACAUGAUCUCAUACAUCACAAUUCAUCAUUCAUCACAACUUCUGGCCAUAUCACAUCACAUGAUCAAUCGCUGCAAAAACAAGUUAGACGUCCUCUAGUUGUUGUUGCAUCUUUUACGUGGCUGCGAUUGGGUUCUAGCAAGAACGUUUUCUUACCUACGAAUCACCACAACAUGAUUUUGUCAACUUCUAUUUACCCUUCAUAAGGGCCCUGUUCAUCGAAUCCGCUCCAACUAAAGUGGGAGAGACAGACACCCGCCAGCCACCUUAUGCAACUAGUGCAUGUCAGUCGGUGGAACCGGUCUCACGUAAGCGUACGUGUAAGGUUGGUCCGGGCCGCUUCAUCCCACAAUACCGUUGAGCAAGAAAAGACUAGUAGGGGCAAGUAAGAUGACAAGAUCAACGCCCACAACAAAUUGUGUUCUACUCGUGCAAUAGAGAACUACGCAUAGACCUAGCUCAUGAUGCCACUGUUGGGGAACGUUGCAGAAAAUUAAAAUUUUUCCUACGGCUUCACCAAGAUCCAUCUAUGAGUUCAUCUAAGCAACGAGUAACGGGAGAGAGUUUGCAUCUACAUACCACUUGUAGAUCGCGUGCGGAAGCUUGCAAGGUGAUGAUGGAGUCGUACUCGAACGUGAUUCAGAUCACCGAUGUCCAAGUGCUGAACGGACAGCACCUCCGCGUUCAACACACGUACGGGACGAGCGACGUCUCCUCCUUCUUGAUCCAGCAAGGGGGAAGGAGAUGUUGAGGAAGACAGCUCCACCGGUAGCACGACGGCGUGGUGAUGAUGGAGAAGCAGUACUCCGACAGGGCUUCGCCGAGCUCUUACGGAGGAGGAGAUGUGUUGGGGAGGGGAGGGGCUGCGCCUUGGGAGUUGGUACAGCAGCCCCCCUCCCUCCCCCCCCUUAUAUAGGCCCCCUGGGGGGGUGGCCGGCCCCUGGAGAUCCAAUCUCCAGGGGGGGCAGCGGCCAAGGGGGGUGGAGUGCCCCCCAAGCCAGGUGGGGCGCCCCCCCCCCACCCCUAGGGUUUCAACCCUAGGCGCAGGGGGUGGGCCUAGGGGGGCGCACCAGCCCCCUGUGGGCUGGUUCCCUUCCCCCUUUGGCCCAUGGGGCCCUCCGGGAUAGGUGGCCCCACCCGGUGGACCCCCGGGACCCUUCCGGUGGUCCCGGUACUUUACCGGGAGACCCCGAAACUUUCCCGAUGGCCGAAUCACCACUUCCUAUAUAUUAUUCUUUACCUCCGGACCCUUCCGGAACUCCUCGUGACGUCCGGGAUCUCAUCCGGGACUCCGAACAACAUUCGGUAUUCACAUACUAGUCUUCCUACUAACCCUAGCGUCACCGAACCUUAAGUGUGUAGACCCUACGGGUUCGGGAGACACGCAGACAUGACCGAGACGACUCUCGGGCAAUAACCAACAGCGGGAUCUGGAUACCCAUGUUGGCUCCCACAUGCUCCUCGAUGAUUUCAUCGGUUGAACCACGAUGUCGAGGAUUCGAUCAAACCCUGUAUGCAAUUCCCUUUGUCAAUCGGUACGUUACUUGCCCGAGACUCGAUCGUCGGUAUCCCAAUACCUCGUUCAGUCUCGUUACCGGCAAGUCACUUUACUCGUACCGUAAUGCAUGAUCCCGUGGCCAACACCUUGGUCACUUUGAGCUCAUUAUGAUGAUGCAUUACCGAGUGGGCCCAGAGAUACCUCUCCGUCAUACGGAGUGACAAAUCCCAGUCUCGAUCCGUGUCAACCCAACAGAUACUUUCGGAGAUACCUGUAAUGCACCUUUAUAGUCACCCAGUUACGUUGUGACGUUUGAUACACCCAAGGCACUCCUACGGUAACCGGGAGUUACACGAUCUCAUGGUCGAAGGAAGAGAUACUUGACAUUGGCAAAGCUUCUAGCAAACGAACUAUACGAUCUUUUAUGCUAUGCUUAUGAUUGGGUCUUGUCCAUCACAUCAUUCUCCUAAUGAUGUGAUCCCGUUAUCAACGACAUCCAAUGUCCAUAGUCAGGAAACCAUGACCAUCUAUUGAUCACAACGGGCUAGUCAACUAGAGGCUCACUAGGGACAUAUUGGGGUCUAAGUGUUCACACGUGUAUUACGAUUUCCGAAUAACACAGUUAUAGCAUGAACAAAAGACAAUUAUCAUGAACAUUGAAAUAUAAUAAUACUUUUAUUAUUGCCUCUAGGGCAUAUUUCCAACAGAUACAAUCUCAUGUCAGUCUCAAUGCUUUGUGAUCUGGAUAUGGUUGUUGUCUUUGGCAAAUAUCGCUGUGUUGUGAUUAUGGAAGCUGACAAUUCCAAAGUCUUCGAAGGCUUUAGGAGAGGAGAUCUGUAUAUUGUUGAUUUCUCUACAGGACCACAACCAGCCAUGUGUCUACUUGCAAAAGCCUCAGAAGGCUGGCUAUGGCAUCGACGACUUGGUCAUGCAGGCAUGAGGAAUUUGAACACGCUUGCGAAGAAGAAGCAUGUCAUUGGCAUUGAGAAUGUCAAAUUCCUCAAGGAUCACUUAUGCGGAGCAUGUGAAGCCGGAAAAAUGACCAAGGCCAAGCAUCCAGCGAAGACUAUCAUGACCACUACUCGUCCAUUCGAAUUGCUUCACAUGGACCUCUUCGGACCUAAUCAUUAUUCAGCAGUCACUAAUGAUGCAUCUCUAUAUGGUUUUGUCAUUGUUGAUGAUUAUUCUCGAUAUACAUGGGUACACAUUGUUACUUACAAACAUGAAGUGCAGGAAGUCUUCAAACGAUUUUCCUCGAGGGCUUCAACCAACUUUGGUGUGAAGAUCAAGCAUAUCAGAAGUGACAAUGGAACUGAGUUCAAGAAUUCUGGUCUUGAUGCCUAUCUUGAUGAACUUGGUAUUACUCAUGAAUUAUCUGCUCCUUAUACUCCUCAGCAGAAUGGCGUCGUGGAGCGCAAGAACAGAACUCUUGUUGAGAUGGAUCGCACUAUGCUUGAUGAAUACAAAACGCCUCAGCGUUUUUGGAUUGAUGCAAUUGAUACUGCCUGCCACAUCAUCAACAGAGUAUAUCUUCACAAAUUCUUCAAGAAGACUGCAUAUGAACUCCUCACUGACAAGAAACCCAAUGUGAGUUAUUUCAAAGUCUUCGGUGCUAAAUGUUGGAUUAGAGAUCCUCACCACAACUCUAAAUUUGCACCGAAAGCACAUGAAGGUUUUAUGCUUGGUUACGGAAAGGACUCGCACACCUACAGAGUCUUCAACAUUGUUCUUCACAAGAUUGUUGACACUGUAGAUGUGCGGUUCGAUGAAACUAAUGGCUCGCAAAGAGAGCACCUACCUUCUGUGUUAGAUGAACCAGCACCUGAGGAUGCUAUCAAGCACAAGGCAACUGAGGAUGUCAUUCCUACUGAAGAAUCUGGUGAAGAAUUCAUUCCUGAUCAUGAAGAAGCUGAUGCACCUGAAGAACAUGAUGAGGAAAUUGGUGCUGAAGAAAAUGCUGAUCAAAAUCCUCAGCGACAACCAACUCAUCCACGCGUUGCAAAAGAAGUGCAAGUGGAGAAGAUCAUCGAUGACAUCAGCGCACCAGGUCCUCUCACCCGCUCAAAAGCCUCACACUUAUCUAACUUUUGUGGGCACUAUGCUUUUGUCUCUAUCUCAGAGCCCACUAAGGUAGAUGAAGCAUUUCUGGAGCCGGAGUGGAUUCAGGCUAUGCAAGAAGAAUUACAUCAGUUCGAGCUAAACAAUGUCUGGGAAUUGGUCAAUCGCCCAGAUCCUCGCAAGCAUAAUAUCAUUGGCACAAAGUGGAUCUACCGCAACAAGCAAGAUGAAAAUGGCCUCGUUGUGAGGAAUAAGGCACGACUAGUAGCUCAAGGCUACACACAGGUUGAAGGAAUUGAUUUCGAUGAAACUUUUGCACCUGUUGCUAGACUUGAAGCUAUUCGCAUUUUACUUGCCUAUGCUAACCAUCAUGAUAUCAUCUUAUAUCAAAUGGAUGUGAAAAGUGCAUUCCUCAAUGGUAAGCUUGAGGAAGAAGUAUAUGUUGCUCAACCCCCAGGUUUUGAAGAUCCCAAGAAUCCUAACAAAGUCUUCAGACUAAAUAAGGCUCUCUAUGGCCUUAAGCAAGCCCCUCGGGCGUGGUAUGACACUCUGAAGGAAUUCUUCGUGAAGAAUGGCUUCACACCUGGUUCACUUGACCCUACUCUAUUUACUAAAUCAUAUGAUGGUGAACUGUUUGUGUGCCAAAUAUAUGUUGAUGAUAUUAUCAUUGGCUGUACUAACCAACGAUAUAGUGAUGAAUUUGCCUAUAUGAUGAGUGAAGAAUAUCAAAUGUCUAUGAUGGGAGAGUUGAAAUUCUUCUUAGGUCUUCAAAUUCGUCAGCAACGCAAUGGCAUAUUCAUACCUCAGGAGAAAUACCUCAAAGAUGUACUGAGGAAAUUCGGCAUGCAAGAUUGCAAAGGCGUCAAAAUUCCUAUGCCCACAAAUGGUCAUCUAUGCACUGAUGAAAAUGGUACUGACUUCGAUCACAAGGUAUACCGCUCCAUGAUUGGUUCUUUAUUGUACCUAUGUGCAUCUAGGCCAGAUAUAAUGCUUAGUGUUUGCAUGUGUGCCCGAUUUCAAGCUGCACCGAAGGAAUCACACUAUAAGGCUGUGAAGCAUAUUCUUCGAUAUCUAGCUCACACACCAACACUAGGAUUAUGGUACCCCAAGGGCUCUGCUUUUGAUCUCAUUGGAUAUUCUGACUCUGACUAUGCUGGUGAUCGUGUGGACCGCAAGUCAACAUCUGGCACUUGUCAUUUCCUCGGAUGAUCUUUGGUCUGUUGGUCCUCGAAGAAACAGAAUUGUGUAUCACUGUCUACUGCUCAAGCUGAAUACAUUGCUGCUGGCUCAUGCUGUGCUCAACUGCUUUGGAUGAAGCAAACCCUCAAGGACUAUGGCGUCAACGUGAAGAAUGUGCCUCUCCUCUGCGACAAUGAGAGUGCCAUCAAGAUUGCACACAACCCAGUUCAGCACUCGAACACUAAGCACAUCCAGAUUCGUCAUCAUUUUCUUCGUGAUCAUGUGUUGAAGGGUGACAUCUCCAUCGAGCAUGUGAAGACUGAAGAACAGCUAGCUGAUAUCUUCACCAAGCCCUUGGAUGAGAAGAGAUUUAGCAAGUUGCGGUGUGAGCUAAAUAUCUUAGAAUCUUCGAAUGUUCUUUGAAAAGGACACACAUCCUAACCCUUAUGCAUAAUUGAUGACUUAGAUGUUCAACACAUGAAGAAACGUUGUUCCUCAAUCAAUGAAGAAUAACACUCUAAGUGUGAAGAAAUCAAUGAAGAAUUUGAUUCUCAGAACCCUACGACAAUUGUACGCGGUGUCUGAAAUCAUCAUUCUUAUACGGUGGGCUACGCCACCACAAAAGUUGAAAAACUUCAAUCUGAGUUUUUUUUAUUAUUUUUUUUAAUUCCUUAGUUUUUCAAAUUCUUCAACUUUGCAAAAUCUUCAGCAUUUCCGUCGUCUUUCUUCAUUGGCUAUAUAUAUAUAUAUAAGUUUAUGUCAUCUACAUCAUUCACUUAUUGCUAAUUCUUCAAGUUGCGAUUUCUGCUAAGUGAAUGUGAUCGGACCCUUCCCCUCUGUGCUAUACUCGACCCAAUCUAUUCACAAAUUCUUCAUGUGCGUUCUGAUUGAAACUCGUUCAAAGUCUUCACUGGUCCUUGACAGCUGAAGAAAUUGCGAACGAAACUUUUAAACAAAUCUUAUCCAAGUUUCGGUUUUACCACUCAAACCGUUCCGCAUCCCACGAUGUAUUAGUUUAAUCACCCAUGAUCUUAGACGAUCUUAUCUGCACAGUACGUGGGUGACACACGUCGCGUGAAGGAGAAAGGGCAGGGGCAUGUUCGUCCAAAAUCUUCGGGCGAACAGUUUUUUUCACCGUGGCUAUAAAUACCCCCUUUACCCUCCUCACUUCAUUUACUCCGCUCGAUCGCUGUCUCUCGCUCGAGCUCUCCACUCAAACCCUAGCGCCGCCGCUACUCCAUCGCCGCCGGUGAGGAAAAGCUUCACUGCCUCGACCUCAUCGCCGUCGUACUCGCGCCGGUCGCGGAAAUCUUCACUCCGCCGCCGCCGUAGCUGUCUUCCUCUGCCAAGUUAGGGCGUGGGAGAUCUAACGUGACGAACUUCUCUACAGUUCAUCUCUGUUCGUCGUGUUCCUCAGUUCGGGUAAUUAAAAAUCACUUUUAUUACUCGCGUUGAUUCUCAAAUCUUUCUGAAAAUCUUCAAAGGUGUUUUUACUCUUCAAAAUCUUCACAUAUGAACACCUCACACACUAUAUGUUCUUGAUUUAUCUCCCUAAGCAUUCAUUUCUUCAAGAUUCCUCAAUUGUGCGGAUUUUCGAUCUGUACAACUCUGGAACCUAAGACAAAACGCUUAGUGAAAUUCCUCAAGGCUCAACUGGUCAAAUUCCUCAAAACUUGCUUCUUUUGAAAAAUCUUCUGAGAACGCAUAUGACCUCUCCAAAUUCCUCGCACCUACACUCUGUUCACAGGUACUCAUGUCCGCUGCUGAAUCACUAGGUUCUCAUCAACUUAACUCAUUUGUAGCGUUCCUUGAAGAAAAACUGCAUACUUCUUCAGAGUGCUCUAUUGUUCAAAUUCCUCACCUGAAGAAAAUGGCAGAAGGCAAGAGACCACAGAAGGGAGGAAAGAAACCGGAAAUCAUGACUGCUUUUGAAAUUUCUGAGGAAAUAUACAAAGACUACUGCACACCUGAUGAAUCCAAAUUUGGCAAGGAGACCAAGAACCAGCGCAAAGUACGCAUACAGAGAAUAGAAAGAAGAAGGGCACGAGAAUGGCGAGAAUACCGCUAUGUCACUCCUAAGUACAUGAGGAAAUUCGCUUUGAAUCCUCCAUGCCCAAGAGCUCCUCUGGCACCUGGCCAAGUCGCUGAUCCCACCAGCGUCAAACGUGGUGAAGACUUUCCUGAAGAAUGGUCCAGGCGCCAAGCCAAAUUGGCAAGACAGGCCAAGGAGGCAGUGAGGAAAUUCAAUGAGGAUACUGCUGCUGCUGCUGCUGAGCCCUCGGUCAAACCGAGGAAAUCAAUGCCAAAGAAGCCUACACGCAAGCCAAGUGCUUCACCGUCAGCGCCCUCACGACCCAGUUCCUUAGCCGCGCCCUCACGGCAAAUUCCUCAGACUGCUGCUGCUCAUGCAAAAUCAUCAGCAGCUCCCUCCAAGUCCUCAACACCUGUGCAUCUUGCAACUUGUCAAAGGACUCAAGGAUUUUCCAUUGCUUCUGGUGUUUCAGCAAGUUCCUCAGCUGCACCAAUGUCCUCAACAGGUCCCACUCUGCUGAAGACAAAAGCAACUGCUGGACGCGGUCCUCGGCCAAGUCCAAAGAAGAAACAGGUUGCAUUCAACGUUCCCUCUGAUGAUGAAGCCUCUGAUGAAGAACUUGAAGAAAUCAUCAGAGACAGACUGACCAAGGCCGCUAGAGCCAAAGGAACAAGUGUACCUCUGCUUUUGGAUCCGAAGAAGAUCCUAGACUUCAUUGACCUGUGGCAUCAGGAUCCACACACUCCUCUUCCGGAUCUGCCACUGACCCCUGGUCAAAGUCACAUGCUGAACCAUUUCAUCUCUGAAGAAAAAUGGAAAUUUGAAAAGGCUCGUGAAUUGAAGAGAGCAAAAGCAAGAAAAGAGAAGCUUCUGAGGAAAAACAUCAUCAACUUGUCUCCUGAAGAACUUCUUAAAGCUCAAUCAGAAAUCCAAGCACUCAGCAAGGAUUUUGAUGCUUACAAUUCUGACUGGCAAGGAGCCAAGGUGAGAUUCGUCACUCUGACGAAGAAAAUGUCAACUGUUGCAGCUCCAUCGCAACAAGAAAAUCCUCAGGCUGAAGAAUCUGCUCAGCCUGCUGAAGAACAUGCCAGCACUGCUGAUGACUUUUAGUGUGCUGAUGAAAACACAAGUUCCAGGGCUGAUGACUCCAUUCCAGCUGCUGAAGAAAUUCCCAGGGCAUCCACUAGUGGUGCGCCUGAAGAAUCUGAAGGAAACAGGGCAACUGCACCAGUUGUGCCUGAAGAAACUGUACAAUAAUCCUCAGCUCCUCCUGCGCCAACACCAUCUCCAAUUCUUCCUUCUGCCUAUGAAGUGAAGAAGACAAAGGCUGCAGAACGAGCUGCAGUGAAGAAAAGGAAGGCAUCAGCUGCGUCAAAUUCUUCGGCUGCGAAGAAAUUGAAGCCAAUGACCAGCUCUAUUGAAAAUCCUAUUGAUGCCAUUCCCAUUUCCUCCAUGUCAUCCAAGGAAAUUGUUCCCUUUGGAGAAGAAUACACGAUCCCUAGCGGAUCAGAUGAAGAAAAUCAAUCUGUUGCCACUUCAGAACAGCUUGAUGAAGAAAUUGAAGUGGAAGCUUUCCCUUCAACUCCUGUUGCUUCCUCACCCGUGCCUUAGUUCACAGCUGAAGAGGCAGGUGUUGAGGAAAUUGAAAAAGAAGAUGAAGAUGUGGAUAUUGGGAGCACUACACCUGUAAUGAACGAUGACUUUUGGGAAAGUCAGCACCCCAAUACUCCUCUCUUCACUCCGCUUCAACAAGUUCCUCAGUCACCAACAACUACUGUUCAAAUGGGCUCUGCAGAAACUCAUCCCACAUCAUCUGUCAACGAAGAGAUUCCAGCCACUAGCGCUGAAGAACCCACUGCUGAUCCUCAAACUACACAAGGAGAGGAACCAGAAAUUCCUCAGCCUGAUGAACCUGAGCUCGUGAUUCCAGAGGUUGUGCUGCAAAUCACUGAUAUUCCUCUGCCCAAGCCAAAGAAUCCUUUCUCAAGCAAGCAGAAAUUCAAGGCUGAAGAUUUCUUUUCUGAGCAUGUGUUCUUCACUGCCUACAAUCCUUAUGACUCUGCUCGAAUGAGGAAAAGACGCUUCUGGACUCCAACUCAAGCAAACUUCUAUUCCUCAGUGCUAUUUAACAAAGACAAGAUCUUCGACCAUGAGCAUAUUCCUCAUGUGGAUAUGGAAUCACUACCAUGCUUCGAGCCAGUACUCCGUGUUCUUCACGAUGCAGGGCUGCUGAAUUUCUGCACUGAUAUAUGUGACUGGAAUGAAGAACUCAUUCUUCAGUUCUAUGCCACCCUGCACAUCACCGGAGAUGCUGAAGACAUCAACUCAUGGGUUCUGGAUUGGAUGACUGAGAAUACUCACUACAAGGCACCAGCAACUGAAUUGCUUCGUGUCCUUCCUCUUGAUCCUCCCCAUGAAUCUGCUCGUUGCCUCUACAAUGACCGUGAACUGUCUGAUCACUUCAUGCAAGUACUUAUGAAGCCAUUGAAGCCAGGCCAAGCCCCUCGAACCAAAUUCCUCGUCAAGGAUUUGCUGUAUGUGCCUCGGACUGUGUAUAGAAUCUUGACGAAGACAAUGAGUCCAAUCAAAGGCCACGACUCAAAUGACGAAGAUGUCAUUGGCAUCAUGAAGAACAUGCUUUUCAAUAUCAUUCAUGGCGUUCCUGUCAACUUCCAUGAUUUCUUCAUGAGGACUCUGGCCAAUAUUGCAAUGUCACCUUUUGAGCUGAAGCCAUAUGCACCUUGGAUCAUGAGAUUCAUAAGGGCAAGAUCUUCACUGAACUACAAGGCUGACACUCUGAAUCAUGGCAGUUUCCUGCCGCCCAUUGAAGUCCUCAAGCGACCAAUUUCAUCAUCUGAUGACAAGGGCAAGGCAGCUGCUGUAAUUGAUGAAGGCACUCGUCCAUUGGAUGGUCAGUUUCGCAAAGCUGCAUCUUACUCCACCAAUGACGACUCUGCUACGCAUGAUACUGCCGCAAAUACCUCAACCAAGCAACAACCUCAAGCCACAGCACCCAGGGUGAUGACUGAUCGUGAGUUACUCCUCAGUCUUCAUCAGAAGGUUGAUCGCAAUCAGAAAUGGGUCAAGCGCCAAUUUGCUGCAAUUCUUCAUAAUAUGACCUCAACGCAUAAUGCUGUGAAGAAAAACCAGUACUACCUUCAUGAAACCCUCAACCGCACCUGGGCUGUUCUGAAUCAUGUCUAUUCCGCGGAAGAAUUGAAGACUAUGGGUCUUCAGGAAUCUUAUGACUGGUCUGCACCACCUCCGAAGAAAUUCAAGAGAGUCAAAGUUCCUGAUUUGGUGGCCAGUUCUUAUUCUUCAUCGCGUGAAACUGAUGAAUAUGAAGAUUUAGACGACACUGCGGUAGGCCCUACUUCAACAACCAACCCCGACAAUGCUGGCGCUCCUCCAUCGACUUGAAUAUCUUCAGGGGUGUUAGUCCUUAGUUUCGAUCCUUUUGGUCAUUUGAUGACAAAGGGGGAGAAAUCUGAGUUAGUCUUCAAGCGGGUUUAUACUAUGGGCGUUUUUAUUAAGUUACAACUCUCGUUCUUCCGAAACUUUUAUUGGAUCGAGUUGUAAUCUUAAAUCCGAUGGUGCCCUGAUACUUUUGAUCGUGCAUUGUGCUGACUUUGCACUGUGCUCUGAUACUUUUUUUGAGAGAUGUGCUCUGAUACUCUUGAUCGUGCUUCUGAUGCUCUGAUUUUGAUAUGUGUUAUGCUCUGAUGCUUUUGAAGCACUAAGCUCUGAAUGUGAUAUUUGAGCUCUGAAACUGUUGAUGUGAUACUCCGCAUGCUCAUUCCUAGUCAAUACUAUUGCAUGCAUGCUGAAUCUCAUCAGGCACCAUAUUUCAUCAUGCAUUUCAAUUCUUCAUAGUAUAUAUAUCAAAUGCGUGUAUGAAUUACAAGAUAUAGGGGGAGUUCUCCAUCAUUUAAUUCUUCAAAUGUGCACUGCCUCAAAAGCAAAUUCCUCAUUAUGCACAUAUUUAGGGGGAGUUCUUCUAUAUCUUGCAAUCAAAUUCCUCAAUAUCAGUAUUUACACUUCAUAUGUUUAUCCCCGUUGAAAACUUAACCUAUGUUGUCAUCAAUCACCAAAAAGGGGGAGAUUGUAAGUGCAUCUAGUGCCCCUUAGUGAUUUUGGUGUAUUGAAGACUUAUAGGUUAAGUAACUGAUGCGUUUGUGAGUGUACACAGGUCUAUAAGUCUAUGAGGGGUUUGAUAUUUACAGAGAAAGUCGACCCCUAAAAAUGAAGUUCUUCGACUGAAGACUUUGAUAUUCUGAAGACUUUCUGAAGACUUUGAAAGUGAAGAAAUUGGUGUGACCAUGAAGACUUGAUAUUCAUUCGAGGAAUAUGAAGCGUGAAGACUUUUGUUUUCGUAGUUUCAUUUUCUCUUUCUUGAGUCAUAGGAAACACCGUACUGUUAAAGGGGGUCGAGGAAAUACUAAGGAAAAAUUUCCGUGUGAUGCUCAACUCAAAAUCCUACACCUACCAAUCCCUUCGAGUGAAGCCAUUGGAAAUCUCAUACAGUUCAGUCAAAUUCUUCAGUGACAGAGACGCAGUUCUUCUGGUCACUGAUGACUUUGCUCUGACUGAGGAGUUAGGAAUUCGCCAGUGCGAAUUGCCUACACAGUGAGGAACAUGAUAGCCCUGAGGACUUUGAAAGUCAAAUUUCCGACCGUUGCUGUGCUGCGCGCCGGCGGACCAAAAUAUCUUAUCCACCUAACGGUCAUAUCAUUGAAGGGCAUUUAUGUCUUAUCAUGUCGGGCUGCUCCCUAGGCUAUAAAUAGCCGCCCCCUACAACCACUAGUUGGUUGGCUGCUCCGAGAGAACUUGACACUUGUCAUUUGAGAGCAACCCAUCCUCCGAGGACUUUGAGCGAAAAUCAUCAAGUGAGGAAAAUCCAAAACCAAAGCCCCACAAAAACCCCAAGUGAUUGAGCAUCACUGAAGAAAUUGAUCCUGCGUGGAUCCGACGCUUGUUACCUUUGAAGACUGUGCUUCUUCCAGACGGUUAGGCGUCAAGGUCUAGAGCAUCCAAGAGGAAUUGUGGAUCGCCGAGUGACCAAGUCUGUGAAGGUUUGGAAGUCACCUGAAGACUUACCACGAGUGAUUGGACGAGGCCUGCGUGGUCUUAGUUCAAGGAGAAUACGGUGAGGACUGGGUGUCCUGAGUUGCGGCUCAGAGACUGGGUGUCCGGGACUGUGUGUCCUCGAGUUUAAAUACUCAGCCGCUCCAACCAGACGUACAACUGAGACAGCAGUUGGAACUGGUCUACCAAAUCAUUGUCUUCACCAACUGACUGGUUCUAUUUCCUCAACUCAUUCAUUUCCUCAUUCUGUGUUGCAUGUUGUUCAUAUCUGUGCUUGAAGACUUUGACUGAAGACUUUCACAAAUUCCUCAGUUCAAUUUCUUCAGUCUGUUUGUCUUCAUCUUGUUAUCCUGUGUUUACGCUUCCUGUACUCUGUUCUAGUCUUCAUUUCAUCAUGCUGACUAUGUGUGUAAUCGGUUAUGUUUACCUCUGAGUACUUAUUCCGCUGCAAAUAGUUCUUCGCUAAGGAAUUUCCUCACCGGCAAAUUCCUCAGUGAAGAAUUUCAUAAAAAUCGCCUAUUCACCCCCCCUCUAGUCGAUAUAACGCACUUUCAGG